rnacentral:rRNA from 1 species
GAUGAACGCUGGCGGCGUGCCUAAUACAUGCAAGUCGAACGGGUGUAGCAAUACACUAGUGGCGAACGGGUGAGUAACACGUUGGUGACCUGCCCUAAAGAGGGGAAUACCACUUCGAAAGGAGUGACAAAACCGCAUAAGCUAGUGCUAGUUAGAGAGGCAUUAGUAAAAGAGCAAUCUACUUUAGGAGGGGCCUGCGGCCCAUCAGCUAGUUGGUGAGGUAAAAGCCCACCAAGGCGAAGACGGGUAGGGACCUGAGAGGGUGAUCCCCCAAAUGGAACUGAAACACGGUCCAUACACCUGCGGGUGGCAGCAGUAGGGAAUAUUGCUUAAUGGGCGAAAGCCUGAAGCAGCAACGCCGCGUGAACGAAGAAGGGCCUUCGGGUCGUAAAGUUCUUUUACGGUGGGAUGAGGAAGGACAGUACCACGAGAAUAAGUCUCGGCUAACUACGUG